UAUUAUGGCGGGCGAUAUGGGCAACCCUCGGGUUGGCCGCGCGUUCCUGGCGGUUUGUGACCCCGUGCUUGCCCGCCUCCCCU
rnacentral:antisense_RNA from 1 species